rnacentral:lncRNA from 1 species
UAAUCUACAAGAUGGAAAUGUUGCAAAAGUUGCGGCCGUAACUGUAGGAUCAAUUUCUUUAAUAAUACCUACGGGCAAAGUACUUAUGUUGGAUGAUUGUUAUUAUGUUCCUAAAUUUGUUUCGAACAUAAUUUCAGCUCAAAGUACUUAUGUUGGAUGGUUGUUAUUAUGUUCCUACAUUUGUUUUGAACAUAAUUUCAGCUUCUAUGUUAGACAAACGUGGUUUUCACAUUACUAUAGGCAAUGGUGUUUGCUCUAUUUAUUAUAGUGAUAAUUAUAUGUGAAU